UUUAUUGCUGUUGUUUGACAUAGAUGAUGGAUCAUUCUUUUUAACCAUGAGUUAAUUCUGUUUCAGGCAUUAUGACCCUUCAUUUCAUACUAUGCAUUUGGUUUUGAGGCAUUGCAGCACUUAGAUCAGUCUGUUGGAUCUCUGAUUGCAAUUGUUCGUAUGGUGGUAUGCAGAUCAUCCUGUUGUGUGGCCUCCAUUACUGGAAGCUCUUAUCAAUAUUUGAUUUCCGUUGGGUGGUCAUCAUAUUCUAUAAAGUAUGGAAUGAAAUCCGGCUACAAUAGGCAUUGUGCUUUAUAUGCAGGUAGGGCAUCACUUUUAAAAUUGUAAGCUAAUGAACAUGAAGUCAAGUGGGUGACUUGCAUCAAUAAAAUACUCCUCUAUUUGGCUAUUUGUUUCAACGUGUUAAUGCUUCCUCAUUGGGAAAGAAACUAUACCCCAAAUCAUCAUGUUUCAUCGAAUUAACUAAUAAUACAAGUCAAGAGGUUAACAUGAUUUAUUAAGACUGAAGGUAAUUAUUAACCUCUGAUUGCCU